rnacentral:lncRNA from 1 species
UAAGAGGAGGCCAGGGACUUCUACAAAGAACGUGAUGAGUGAUGUACCUGUCUAGCUAGACCAGAGAGGGACACAAGUGUUUCACAAAUAAGAGAAUGAAAAGGGAUGAAAUUUUGGACAUGGUGAUAUUUCAGAGAACAGACAUGAUUAUAGAGUCCAGUGUAUCAUUUUCUCCCAUGUCACUCCACUCAGAGAUCUUUUAGCAUAGCCCAGUACUCUGUUUCAAUAAAGUAGAAGAAAUGGAAAGACAGAAAGGGCAAGAUUUAAAAUGACAGUAAGUUCUCCAUACUUUCAUAGUUAAGAUACAAAGGGAGGUAUUAUCAAAGAGAAACACUGGGCCGGCGUGGUGGCUCAUGCCUGUAAUCCCAAAACUUUGGGAGGCCGAAGUGGGUGGAUCACCUGAGGUCAGGAGUUGGAGACCAGCCUGGCCAACAUAGUUGAAACCCCAUCUCUACUAAAAAUACAAAAAUUAGCCAGGUGUGGUGGUGGAUGCCUGUAAUCCCAGCUACUUGGGAGGCUGAGGCAGGAGAAUCACUUGAACCCUUGAGGCAGAGAUUGCAGUGAGCCGAGAUCAUGCCACUGCACUCCAGCCUGGGUGACAAAAGCGAAACUCUGUCUCAAAAACAAAACAAAAAAAAAAACAGAAAUGAGAGACCAGAAUGGAGGCUUUUUGACUCUAUAUGCUGGUAGAGCGGGUAUUGA